rnacentral:rRNA from 1 species
AACGAACGCUGGCGGCAGGCUUAACACAUGCAAGUCGAACGCCCCGCAAGGGGAGUGGCAGACGGGUGAGUAACGCGUGGGAAUCUACCGUGCCCUGCGGAAUAGCUCCGGGAAACUGGAAGUAAUACCGCAUACGCCCUACGGGGGAAAGAUUUAUCGGGGUAUGAUGAGCCCGCGUUGGAUUAGCUAGUUGGUGGGGUAAAGGCCUACCAAGGCGACGAUCCAUAGCUGGUCUGAGAGGAUGAUCAGCCACAUUGGGACUGAGACACGGCCCAAACUUCUACGGGAGGCAGCAGUGGGGAAUAUUGGACAAUGGGCGCAAGCCUGAUCCAGCCAUGCCGCGUGAGUGAUGAAGGCCUUAGGGUUGUAAAGCUCUUUCACCGAUGAAGAUAAUGACGGUAGUCGGAGAAGAAGCCCCGGCUAACUUCGUGCCAGCAGCCGCCGUAA